AACGAACGCUGGCGGCGUGGAUUAGGCAUGCAAGUCGAGCGCGAAAGGGUGAACCCGUAAGGGGGAUCUUGAGUAGAGCGGCGAACGGGUGAGUACAAGGUAGGUAAUGUGCCCUGAAGUGGGGGAUAACUCCGGGAAACCGGAGCUAAUACCGCAUGCGCUUCGCCGGUCCCCGGACCGACGGAGGGAAGGUGCGAGUCUUCACGGAUUCGUGUCGCUUCAGGAUCGGCCUACCCCCCAUUAGCUAGUUGGCGAGGUCAUGGCUCACCAAGGCGACGAUGGGUAGCUGGUCUGAGAGGAUGGUCAGCCACACUGGGACUGAGAUACGGCCCAGACUCCUACGGGAGGCAGCAGUCUAGAGGCUUCGGCAAUGCCCGAAAGGGUGACCGAGCGACGCCGCGUGUGGGAUGAAGGCCUUCGGGUCGUAAACCACUGUCAGUAGGGAAGAAUGCCCGGAUGGUGAAUCCGGGAGGGACGGUACCUGCAGAGGAAGCCACGGC
rnacentral:rRNA from 1 species